rnacentral:rRNA from 1 species
GAUGAACGCUGGCGGCGUGCCUAAUACAUGCAAGUCGAGCGACCGCACGAUAAUCUUUCUGCUGGCGUGUUAGCGGCGGACGGGUGAGGAAUACGAGGAUAACUUACAUAUAAGGCUAGCAUAACUUCGGGAAACCGGAUCUAACAUCUUCUAUUAUCUUGAAACGAAUGGAUCAAAAGUCAUUGACGUUCUUGAUGUCACUUUUUGAUAGUUCCUCGUUGGUUUAGCUAUUUGGUAAGGUAACGGCUUACUAAGGCAACGAUGCAUAGCGGAUCUGAGAGGGUGAUCCGCCACACUGGAACUGAGACACGGUCCAGACUCCUACGGGAGGCAGCAGUAGGGAAUCUUGCGCAAUGGGCGAAAGCCUGACGGAGCAACGCCGAGUGAGUGAUGAAGGUCUUCGGAUCGUAAAGCUCUGUUAGUGGGGAAGAACAUAUGUGUGAGUAUACGUUGAAGGCUUGACGGUACCUCAUUAGAAAGCAACGGCUAACUACGUG